rnacentral:rRNA from 1 species
ACGAACGCGGCGGCGUGCCUAAUACAUGCAAGUCGAACGCUUCUUUCCUCCCGAGUGCUUGCGCUCAAUUGGAAAGAGGAGUGGCGGACGGGUGAGUAACACGUGGGUAACCUACCCAUCAGAGGGGGAUAACACUUGGAAACAGGUGCUAAUACCGCAUAACAGUUUAUGCCGCAUGGCAUAAGAGUGAAAGGCGCUUUCGGGUGUCGCUGAUGGAUGGACCCGCGGUGCAUUAGCUAGUUGGUGAGGUAACGGCUCACCAAGGCCACGAUGCAUAGCCGACCUGAGAGGGUGAUCGGCCACACUGGGACUGAGACACGGCCCAGACUCCUACGGGAGGCAGCAGUAGGGAAUCUUCGGCAAUGGACGAAAGUCUGACCGAGCAAACGCCGCGUGAGUGAAGAAGGUUUUUCGGAUUCGUAAAACUUCUGU